GUUUAUAAAAAUUGUAAAGCUGCAGUGAGUUUUAGAAAAUACAGAUAUAAAAUAUCCAUUAGAAAUGAUAAAUGACUCAAAAAUUGUUCAGUGUGUUUUCUCAGGAUCUCUUUUUGCUCUACUAUAUUGUCCUAAAAGUAAUAGAUAUAUCUGUUCAAGGUGUUUUAUUCAGAAUACUUCCCAGCACUCUGCAAUCUUUCAUUCAGUAGAUUAACAGGAAGGAUGGAUUCUAAACAAACCUCGUUUCCCUUCUCCACAAUUCAGGAACCAUAGUUCACUCAUCCAAAGAGUCUCAGGAACAAAAGCUUUUCAUUCAGCACAGCUGAAAUCAGCAAAUAAAGCUUUAAUUGCACUGGAAUUGGCCCCAACUAUCAAUGUAAAUCAAUACUAUGAAAAUUGUAGAAAAUGAUGCUUGAAAAUUAUCAAUGAUAUUUUAAUCUAGAUGAUGGCAGGGACUGUUUCAGUGUUAAUACAGAAGAAAUAUUAGGAAAUGGCAUUUUUAUAAACAGAAUAGCAACUUUCAAGGAAUGUCAGGAUAAUACCAACUGUGCAUUUAUAAUCUUCAGAGGACUUUAUAAUGUUACUCGGUAAAUCCUCACAACAGCUGUGUGAAGAAGGUAACUGUUAUUUUACUUACAGGGAAACUGAGGCAGGAGAGUUAAGUGACUUGUUGAAUGUUAAGGGGAGUUAGAGCCAGAGGAGAACUCUGGAGGCCCUGACUCCUACUCCUAUAGCAAGGUCAAUAGCCCACAUCUGAGUUUCUAUGCAAGUUUUGUUUUUAUGUCAGUUUGACAUGUGCAUAAUAUUAUCACUUUCCAUUGUCUAUUUCUAUUCAUUCAGACAGGGAGUUUCUAAGAAGAGAGCAUAUAAACAAUUUUUCCUGGGUUAAAAGUGAAAUAAAUCUACUCAACAAGCCAGACUGAGUACACUGAACCAUCAGAGCCUGCUGAGAUAACCUUCAGCCUUCCUCAGGGCUGCUUAUCGGUUCCAGGUUUGUUUUUUUUUAAGUGUUCAUUAGCUUUAAGAGCACUCAGUCCCAGUGAUUCAGGAAGACUGCAGCUCAGGAUCCCCUGCAGCGACAGACUCAGUUGGCUGUCCUCACAAUCUAGGUGAUAGUGUGUGUGUAUAUGAUACACACACAGAGCAUACCCAAGGAGAUUUUAUUUCUCAUAUUUAGACCCCCACUGGAAGUAAUUUUAGUUAUCCUUUGGCUUGCAGUGAAGAAUCUACUAGAUUACCAAAUGGUUCCCUAACAGCCACUUUGCUGCCUUCCUCCAGCUCCUAGGUCCUGCAAUGAUCACAGCAUGUCCGGAUCCAAGAAUCAGGCCCGUUGUGUUGAAAGUAGGCUGCUACCGGGACAGGCACAUGGAGAAGCUUUGUGCCUUAUUUAUCCUUUUGUAAGACCAGAUGCUUAUCUAGCUGAACCCCUGUGUUCCUAUAGGUUUCAGAGUAGCAGCCGUGCUAGUCUGUAUCUGCAAAAGAAAAGGAGGACUUGUGGCACCUUAGAGACUAACAAAUUUAUUUGAGCAUAAGCUUUCGUGAGCUACAGCUCACUUCAUUUGAUGAAGCUUGUGCUUUUUAUGUUCCUAUACUGCAUGAACUGGCACAAGUUUAUUAACUGUUCUUUAACAAAGUUUGUAAAUAGUGGGUACCAGAGCCUUUGUUACCUGCUUCGAAGCUAUGGAAUACACUGUGUAAUGACAUUACAUCUGUUUCCUUGGUUCCAGUGUUUAAGAGAUAGGUGGGGUAUCUAUGUUUUCUCAAGGCUUUCAGGCAGUUUGAGCUCUGCAAACUCUUCAUACUGUGUAAUGCCUCGAGACACUUUGUAAACAAAUGUGGGUUGUAUUGGAGAUUUUGCUUCCUUUAUUCCAGCGGAAAGCAAAUAUCGCAGAAUAAACAGGUUUAUUUACACUG